GAUAAUGAUUUAUCAUAUACUUUGAUAGUGCAAGGAAAUAAUCGCUAGAAUAUAUUCUACUGGUAAUUUUUUGUAAGAAGGGAGAUUUGAAAUCCUAAAUUCAUCUGUAUAUAUGCAUAACUAGAACAAGACACAAAAAGAGAUAGAGAAGAAAUGGAAGAGCACUAGCUACUGAGACCUGAGUGGGAACAAAAAUGUUGGUUUAUCCAACAAAACAUAUCUUAGGUCAAAUGUAGAAAUUCGUAUUUGUGGAAUAAAAUUAAAAGCAUUGAUGUUUCACCAUAGCAUAUAUAAUUGUAGCCUUCCACAAGUUUCCUAAACAUUAGAAAAAUUGUCAAUCAUAAAGUGAAAACAAGAAAAAGAAAAUAAAGCAUACUCUACAUUCGAAAAUUUUGGAGGGAU
rnacentral:lncRNA from 1 species